AGCUUCUUUGUCCCUCAUAGGAAGGCUGCCAGGUUCACCUAAGGCAGGACAGAAUAUCAGCUUUCACUGUUGAAUAGCUUUUGUUUGCCUUUUCUUUUUUCUCUGUCCAUUGGGGAUCACUCUUGUUUGCCUGGUUUACAAAUGAAAGAGCAACUGCCUUUUGGCCUGAAGAGUCCAAGGUGAUAGAUGGGUCUGCUCUGCCUGCUCAUCGUAUUUGUCACUUCAUUGAAGUUAUUAUGAGUGUGUAUUUAGGUAUUGAUGUGAUCUUUUGACAAGUCUACAAAUGUGGGACAUUACUGAAAGAAGAAAUGUGGGGAAGAAGGCACCAUGGAAUGUCCAAGUAAGUUAGUAAUACUACAGAUCUUUUGAUUGUCUUUAUUUUGAUAUUUAUUGACCAUGAAAAGGGAUAGUUUGACAUCAUCUCCAGCUUCCUUGGUUACUAUGGUAAAAUACUCUGGCUGAAAGCUAUUUGCGGGGAGAAAGGAUUUAUUUGGCUUAUACUUCCAGGUCACAGUUCACCAGGGAAGGU
rnacentral:lncRNA from 1 species